UACGGGGGGAGCAAGCGUUGUUCGGAUUACUGGCGUAAAGGGCGCGUAGGCGGCCAGCACAAGUCAGUUGUGAAAUCUCCGGGCUUAACUCGGAAAGGUCAACUGAUACUGUGCGGCUAGAGUGCAGAAGGGGCAACUGGAAUUCUCGGUGUAGCGGUGAAAUGCGUAGAUAUCGAGAGGAACACCUGCGGCGAAGGCGGGUUGCUGGGCUGACACUGACGCUGAUGCGCGAAAGCGUGGGGAGCGAACAGG
rnacentral:rRNA from 1 species